rnacentral:rRNA from 1 species
AUAUUUAUUGAAGGGCUGCGGUAAUUUGACCGUGCAAAGGUAGCAUAAUCAAUAGUCUUUUAAUUGGAGGCUUGGAUGAAAGGUUUGACGGAGGGAAAACUGUCUUUUUAAUUGAUAUUGAAUUUAACUUUUAUGUGAAAAGGCAUUAAUGAUUUAGUGGGACGAUAAGACCCUAUAAAGUUUUACAUGUGUAUUGAUUUAAUUAAAUUGUUUAUUUAAUAAUUAAAUUAUUGAGAUGUGUUUUGCUGGGGCGGCAUGAAUAUAAUGAUUAACUGUUUUUAAUAUUAUAUAUUUAUAGAUAGUGAGUGGUCCUUUAUUUAAGAGGUUAAGAUCAAGUUACUUUAGGGAUAACAGCGUAAUUUUAUUUGAGAGUUCGUAUCGAAGAUAAUAGUUGUGACCUCGAUGUUGAAUUAAAUUUUCUUUUGGGUGCAGGAGUUCAUAAAGAGGGG